rnacentral:lncRNA from 1 species
CCAGCCUCACGAUUGACUCCCAAACAGUCAACAAAACACCCCUUAAUCCCUUAUCCAGAGUAACAUUCGAGUUUAAUAAAAUGGAAACUUACCGUACAACAUAAUUGCACGCUUGCACAAAGGGGAAAAGAUGAAGAAAGACAACGAAAACGGAAGGGGAAUUCAAAGGAAAUUUAGUAACAAGGAUUUAUUAUUUAAAAAAAAAGAGGAAAACCAAAAAUUGAGAGUGGGGGAGAAGAGAGAAAAUGUCAGAAAGGUGGAAAAGAGUCUGAUAUUUGAAAAAAAAAACUAAACAAAAAGAUAAUGCCUAAAAAUCUAGAAAUUCAUCUCCUUAAUUCUCUCCCUAACCUCCCACAACAACUCCACUGCUUGAAAUUUCAAUUUGACUUGGACUCCAC